rnacentral:ribozyme from 1 species
GGGCGGCAGCAGUAGCCGCCCGGCAAUUAAAGCAGCCACGAUCCGCCCGCGGGAGAUUGUGAAGGUCCGAAGCCCUUGUAAAUGCUGACGGGUUG